CAUAACAAACAAUUAAACAUAACAUCAAGAUAAAUUUAAACAAAAACAAAGUAAAUAUCGGCACAUCACCAUCCAGUGGAAGCUUCAAAUCAAUAAUAAGUAAAUCCGGACUAUGGCUAUUAAUAAGAUUAUACAAGGACAGUUCAGUUUGAUUCCGUUGAAAAGCGUCGAAGUCAACGAAGAAAACACCGCCAUUGAGUUUCUACUCUUUCCAGUCGUCAACUGUUCCAUUGUUAUCAAGACUAUACAAAUUAACAACAUAGCACUAGGAACCUGGAAUCUCCAAGCCAGGAACCUGCCGAACCACGACACAAUCCGGGUGGAUGAUGUGAUAAAUAUUAUUCUGUUGAUGGCCGUCAACUCUUUGUGUUUGAACAACGUCAGCGAUAAUUUUGUAAUGUAGAUAAAUUCAUCAUCAUCCACAAAUUCCAUGCAUAUUGUUUUAGAGCUCCUACUGUAUUGAACGUCGUUGUAGGACUCUUUCCAAACCAAGUCAAUCUGUUUGGAAAAGCAAGUCGAUGAAGGAUUAUUGUGAUACAUCUUAGGUAUUAGUAUUUUGUGUUUGAAUGUAAAUGAGUCGUUGUACAUCGGGACUCGCUUGAUUCUAGUAUUGCAAUUGAUAUCUUCUUUCUUUUCUUCUUCGCUGGAUAAGAGUCAUCUUUAAAAGAAUCAGCACGAAAUAAAACCAGCAAGGUAAUUGAAAGAAAUAACAACAUCUGAACGAGUGUAGUAAGCAGUGCAAUCUAUGUGACAAAGAAGACGGUGAUGUUUUUAUAUUUCCUAAGAAAAAUGUUAGAUUAUAAACAAAUAUUAUUCCCUAUUAAGAGUUCUUGAUAAUUAUAUGAAAUUUUUAUAUAUAAACAAAAAUGUAACAAAGUUUGUAGAACAGAAUGGCAAAAAAAAUUAGAAAAAAAAAAUU